UCUCAUACUAAACAAAAACCUAACGUGCUUGGGGAGCAAAAGCAAGUUCUGGCACUCUCAGGGCACCCAUUAUUGCGUCAAUACCCAUUAUUGCUGUGGGAAGGGAAGUAGAAACAAACUUCUUUUCUUGGGGAAAUGGCAGGGAAGAGUUUUACACAGGGUUCUAUAUUAACAGUGUUGGAGGUCUCAGCACCAUAGGAGAAGAUGGAAAAUCUCUCCCACACAAGACUCACCACAGGUAUAAUGCAGAAAUCGGCCAUCAUCGGGAGGAGGCGUAGGAAUGAUGAGAAACCCCACCUAUGAAGCCCAGGCAUACGGGACCUAAGACACACUGGACCAGGACAGAAGAGGACUGCCUCUGUCCUCUGUCCAUCAGCCAGCAAACAGAAUCUGAAAACCAUGAAGGUUAAGUAACUUCACCAACGUGCCACACCUGCUGAGUAGUGAGUUACUCUUCAAACUCGUGAUGUCCGGCUCCAAAGCCUCAGUUUCUUCCAUUAAACCAUCGUAUUAGGAGGUGAGUAAAGUCCCAGAUAUACUUCAUAUUUUCCACAACAUGUGAUUUUUUUCCAUUUACAAACAGCUUGUGUGCCUUCAUUAAUGAACUAAGCUUAAUAUUAAUACCUCCUUUUGACCUACCUCACAGUGGUAAAGUUAAACUCAGAUGAGCCAAUGCACAUAAAAUUUACUUGGCAAACUGCUGUAUGUAAAUCUUAUUUUUGUUGCUUUUAAAACGUUUCUUUUUAAAUUGCAUUUGCAGCGCAGAAAUAAAUAUGUGACCUGUAACUGGUACUUUACUGUGAUGAAUUAAUGAAUACAUACGCCAGAAAAACAUUUUUAUAGGUAAAAAUAUGGGAACGUACACUCACUGUAUGUUAUAUCCAUCUUUUAAUCUUAUCUUUCCGUAUUCUUGGGAAGGUAAAUAGGGGCAACUUCUUUUGGGAUUUCCUGAAGGAUAAACUGAGGGACUGUAUUCCCUGUGUUACCUCACAGGACAGGGAAGCAGUGGGUCUGUGAGGUGGAUGCAGCCCGGUUUGCGGCUUGCACUCAGGCAGCCUGUCCAGCCUCACUGCUGCUCAGAGCCAAUGCCAGGUGCUUUUGCUGAAGUGCGCUGCAGAGACUUGCCACAGGUGGCGGUCACGACUAAUGUGCACCUGCACUACUAGCCUAGCGUCGCAUCUCUUAAUUAGUUUUGUCUGCUUUAUGGUUCAGUAAUUAAACAAAUUGUUAUAAGUAACUAAAAAGUAGAAGCCAAGAAGCCCAUUUCCACAGCUGGCAGCCUGACACAUUAGAAGUUUAAUUGCUAAAAUGCUCUGUCAGGGGCCAAAUUCUUUGUUAUCGUUUGCCUAACAAUUACGAAUGAGUGGGUGGGUACAAGUGGCACUUUGGGCGCUAUAAGAAUUCUUUUAUGACUGAUUUUUUUCCCCAAAUAUUUUUCUAUAGUGACUGAGUUCCUUGGGAACGGAUUACGAUAACCCAUCUUUUUAAGCAAGGAUGAGUCUUUAAACCAGGAUGCUCGCUGCUGCUAAAGAGGUUUAAAUCAUAAGAAUUAGUCUGAAUACUUUCUCCAGAGAAUUAUCAGAUAAAGAAAUAAGGAUUGCAUUCUUGUCAAGUCUCUGGAGAACAGAGCAUCUUUCUAUAAGCAUUUUCCCUGUGAAAGUCUUCCCGUGCUGUCCUCUUUCUCUUACCUUAACUAAGGACCUUAAAACUAACACAAAGCCACAUUCUUGGGACACAUACAUGCCAUCUCUGCACAAAGUAUUACAGCUUCUUUCCAAACUCAGACACUGUUUCUAGCACUAUUUAAUUUUUAUUCUCAGUUUUAUACACCUUAAACUUACAUAAAGAGUCAUCUCUUUCAUUUGCAUAAUAGAAAAACAUUUUUCUGUACAGACAAGAAUAGGUACCAUUUGUCUCUUUACUAUGCUGAGUACAAUCAUCUUAAUGGGACUUCACGUGUUUUUGGUUUUUUUAAUUAUGUAUUUUUCUGAGUAUUAAAGUAAUACAUCUUUGGUUUAGAAAAUUGGGAAAAUACGUAAUUGAAAAUAUAAACAUUAUUCAAAAAUCCCACACUGGCAUAUUGGAUUACUUUGCAGCAAAUAUUCACUCCACUUCUCCUGAGCAAACUACUUUGCAGCAAAUAUUCACUCUCCACCUCCUGCUCCACGGGGUCUGGGCUUGGCCAUGGAUUUCCUUUGGCCUCCGGAAUGUGGGAAGAAGUAACGUGUUAAAUGCGGGCAGAAGUUCCAGUUCAGAACAAAAGCUUUCAGAGGCUGACUCUCUUGUAACUCCUCAUGUCUGCGUGGCAUGGCCGUGCCUCAUGCUGGCCCUUCUCCUUCAGCCUGGGGUCCAGAAUGAGAGACAUGCAAAACAGACCUGCACAAAACUCUGGAUCCAACCCAAGCCACAUCUAGCCAAGUUUCAGCUGGCCUCUUUUUGAGCCUGAAAUAAAUGUCUCACUAUAAAUCUUUGAGAUUUUGAGGUUGUCUGCUACACAGCAAAGUUGACAAAUAUACCCACCUUUCAAUGGAGAUUCUAUAUAUGUGUGUGUGUGUAGGAGUAUAUGUGUGUACGUACUCAGGCAUACAUAUACACAUACGUUCUGGCAUAUUUUCUUCCAGACAUCCAUUGUUUCCUUGUCUUUCUCAGUAUGUGUGUGUACAUAAGAUACAUAUGUUUAAGGGUAUGUAUAGGUUGUAUAAAUACACUGUGUGUGUACAUAGGUAUACAGUAAAUCACAUACAUGCACAUGGAUUUAAAACAGAUCUCCUAUCAGGUGAUGAACCCGUUCAGGUUUGCCUGGGACUUUCCUGGUUUUAACUUUGAAAGUUCCCUAUUCUGGGACACUCCUCAAUCUCAGGCAAAAGAGGACUGUUAUCAUCCUACCUUUUACUUUUUUCACUUUUAAAAAAUUCCACAUUUCUAGUUUAAUAGAUCUUGAAUAGAAACCUUCAAAAUUCAUUGCAUAUUCUUCUCAGUUUGUGCUAAUUUCAUAGUACCCCAUCACACGCACACACCAAACACCCAGUUUAACCAAUUACCUAGUGUUAAAGAUUUAUUUUUGUCAUUUUUCUCUUGUACAUUUACAAACAUUUCCUUUAUAAUCUUUGGUUCACUUGUGGGCUAUUUUUUCUUAUUUUAUCAUGAUUACUCGUAACAUAGGAUUUUAUGAUUUGAGAGGCCAAUUUAUUUUAUGAAUUCAACAGCUUAAUCUUAAAAUAUUCUAGUAGAAGAUAAAAUGUUGUGAACCAAUAGCAUAGUUGUAAUUUAUAUCACAAUACAAUUUCUAAUCAGAUUAUAUGGAUAGCAAAUAUAAUCCAUUUAAUAGAGUCACCUCAACAGCCAUUGAGCCACAUGUUCUUUCUAUUAAAUAUGUAAGUCUUAGUACCUACCCUCAUUUGACUUUCAAAAGAAGUGUAUAAAUAAAAUAUGCACAUCUGAAAAAUAAGUUUACAAUAUUAACAAUAUAGGACAUGUAAAGUAUGAUACUAAUAUCAAGUGCUACAUGGUUUGAGGAAGUAAACAAAUAUUUUAGUUUAGUGUGGUCAAGCAAGGCUUCCCCAGGAAGGUAGGAUAUGAAACUAAAGGAACACUAGACAUGAUAUAUGGGAUGUACUAUCUAUCCAGUCCAAAUUGAAGUUAGGACUGUAUAUAAUAAAAUUGUAAUUAUGCCGUUAAAGCCUGGAGUUUCUAAAAGAGAGAUUCGUGUGGGAUACAGCAAGACAGGAGACUUUGUGAGAGAGAAGGCAUCUGAGCUGGAUCUCAAAGACUUUUUCAGACCUGGUGAAUAAGCCAUUUAUAUCUCCAGUAGCUAAAGCACAUCUGCAAACACAGCAAUAAAUUAAUAAAAGUGAGGACGUUUUGGAGAUGUUCAGAAUGUUUUAAGAAGAAAUAUUCCAUGCAAAUAUCCUGACAGAUAAUUAUAAUACUUUAAAAAUAGACCUCUCAUAAAGCCUUGUUAAACAUAAGGUUCAGAGGUUUACAUUGAAAGCAUAAUUCUGUCUUUGAAUCUCUUCAUUGAACUUCUAAAAAUGCAUAUUAUGUUUUAGACAUGUUGUCUCAUUCUUUCUGGUAUCAGUAAAAGUGUUUAAGACUUUGAUGUACAGUAGUACAUUUUAAGUGGUAAAUUUUAAGUCACGUUCCUGGAAAAGUCUUAUGAAAACAUGUUAUUCCCCUUCAUGGUAUGACAAGCUACAGAAAAUACAGUAGUAAACAGUACCUUGCCAACUCUUGCAAAGGAUGACAUUAAAAAUAAAAUGCUACACUGCAUGGAAAACAAAACAAAAUAAGACUGCUUUGUAUCUUUAUCCAAAGCAAUUGUCAUAAACAGGUGGGUGUCGAUCGUAACAAGAAUGAAAUUACUCCCAAACACACAAUUUAAGUAAAACAAACAGCUAGUGGUAUUAACACUUAAAAGUGUCACAUGUGUUUCAAGGAGAAAAAAUAUCUUGUAUAGAAUAUUUUCUGGAUCAGGUUGCAGAUUUAUUAGUCAUGCUCCAAUACCUUGAGACCAAUUCAAUUUGUCAGAGCUCAAUAUCAUUGCCAUUUGCCACAGAAUCUUGGGUUUUAAAUCAAGGCCAACAUCACAACUAACCUUGGAGGGAAAACAAAAUUUAUAGUAUUGCUGUAAGGCCCAUGUCUCAAAGGGAUUUAAAUCAUUUGAAUAAUCUAUUCAUAUUUUUUUUCUACAGGUGUGAAAAUGAGACAGCUACAAGUAUGUUUAAAAUUACAAGUAAUAAUAUUACAUUUGCAACAAGAGCGUUCAACAGAACAGGUUAUGUUUUAUGCUUAAUAAAUUUGAGGUUUAAAUAGAGAAAAAAAUGUGUACAUAUAAGUUACUCGUGUGAUUGCAGAAGGAGGUGUUUAAAUUUGUUUACCUAGUCAAAUUUAUGGGAAGACCGUCAUUCAAGGAGUGUCUUAAAAACAGGCAAGCAAAAAUACAUAUGGGGAGUCUAAAGAGAUCUGAUGUGGCUCAUAAAUGUCAACUGCAGAGCCUCUUCUUGUUCUUCUGAAAAAUGUAAUAUGUUAAAGAUAUACCUAAUUUAUUUCCAUUAAGGAGUUUAUGCCCUGGAAGAAGUUCAGUCUUAAGGUCCAUUUUCACUUACUCAAAUUAGAUGGAUUGGAGCAUUACACACAUUACAAGAAAAUUUCUGGAGAUUGGAAGUCUGAGAUCAGAUGCCAGCAUGGUUGGGUUCUGGUGACAGCUCUCAUCGUGGUUUGCAAACACCUGUCUUCAUGUUGUAGCCUCACUUCAUGGAGAGAGAGAGUUCUGGUAUAUUGUAAAAAUCUACUCACACAAAUACUAAGCAAAAAAGAUAAGGAACUUGUUAAUCAUGUGGAUUGCAGGGUUUCAUGAAAUCUAAUAAAGUGAUUUUGGAUAACUAAUACAACCAAUGCAAAGCAAUCUACAAGUGAAGACACAAGCAGAGUGAGCGUGGUUAAUGACUGAAGAAGAGAAAUGGAAAAGAAAAGAAAAAAAGAUCUUUCAAGAGAGAAUAAUUUUGAAUAUCAAACAAUGAAGAGCUUUUCAGAAUUUUGAUGAAGAAAAUCCUUGAAAAUUCUUGCAAAAAUGAUACCCCUCCCUUUUAGACUGUUCAUUCAAAAUAUAGUGCUAUCAUUUAAUUUUGCCCAAAAAAUUACCCCCAAGUUAAUACAAUUCAUUCUUUUUAAUUCUAAAAAUUAGCUUAUACUUAUAAUUACAACCAAAAAUACGACAGUUAAAUAACGCUUUUUUAUAAUUUUUCGCUGUAUAUUUCAAAUCAGCCAGUUGGACCAAUCAAGUAUUGUCAAUGUUCAUUAUAAAGUUUUCACCCCACCUUUGGAAACCUCUCUAAAGGUGACUUUUUCUGUACCAAGUGUCCUUCAACAAAGAGGAACCUCCUGGAUCUCAGUGAUUAUGAGGGACACGACCUGGCAAAGGCCUUGUGACUGUUCUGAGAUUCAGUUAUACACUUAUAAAAUCACUGUGUUCUGUUUAAUUAUACUCAUGAAGAAAUACGAACUAUAAAUAUAACUAUAAAAAUAAAUAUAAACUAUAAAUUCCCUAUAAGCUCUAAGAUUGUUAUUGCACAUUUCAAUUUCUUAUAAUGAGUAUCUUAGAUCACUUUCAGGAAACAAGAAAUGUGUCAUUUUGGAAACUUUUGCUUUGUUAAUAUAUUUUUUAAUGCUUUAAGGUUUAAAAAUCAGCUAUCUGAAAAAAACCUCUUGUCUCAUUCCCUCACUAUGUCAGAUGCAUGAUAUGAAGAUUUUUCCAAUUAAAAAAUCCCAAAACACGUUUUCACAUUGUGGAAAACUUGGAAAAUGACAAAUAGGCAAAAUGGAGGAAAAAACUCAUUAUCUUUAUACCCUAAAACAAAGAUGUUUAAGAUUUUAUCACUAUUCCUCUAAUCUUCCAUGUGUAAAUUAUAUCUGAGACACGUUCCCAAGACAUUGACAGCCUUUUAUAAUCAUUUAAUCACAGAUGCAUGUAACAUUCUUUACUAAAUAUUCUUCCCCUUAGAUAUUUAAGUGGUAUAAAUAGACUAUUAUAAAACAAAAUUGUGUUCCUGUUGUCAUUGUUUUUUACGUAACUCUGCGAACUUUAGAUUAUUCUCCAAGGACAAAUUUGUGGAAAUGAAAUUGUCAGAUGAAAGACUGAGCAUUUUAAAAGUUUGUGUUUUGAAUUGCCAAAAUAUUAAAGAAACCAAUAAACCUAGGAAAAUACCUAACAGAAAUGUGUAGGACUAAUAUAAAGAAAACUUUAAAACACCAUUAAGGAAUACAACAGGAAUCCUAAAUAAAUAGAAACAUAUAACUUGUUCUUGAAUUAAAAAGAAUCAAAAUUCUAGGCUUGCAUUUAAACCUUGAAGAUCAAACACAUGUGUUUAUCUCUGAACUGUGCCAAAAUUCUACUGAAAUUACAGCAAUGGAAUUAAUUGCACAUAGGGCCUGAAAGGCAAAGAAACCGGAAGAGUUGACAAAAGUGACUUUGUGGAAUAUAGAAAGUGAGUGUCAGAGUUUUGCUGCUCUGAAGAGCAUGUGUGAGUGUGGGAGGGAGAUAUAUUGGGGACUGGGGGAUAGUUAAAAGCAGGCUUCUGAAGGCCAAAGUACAUGGCAGGGCUACAAGUGAGGGUGUGUUUGGUGUCUAUGGAAGCGUUAGACCCUGAGAUCUCUUUCAUCUGCCCAAGUAGCCAGGUCUCUGGUCCUGCCUAAAUCUUAUAGGAGGCAGGAAGCUUUCACUCUGAAGAAGUUUAUCCUGGAGACUUUGUACUCAGUAAAAUCAGAAACUGGUUAGGAAGAGAAGAGACACUUUUCCACAAGUAAGGGAUUAUCCUCCAGUCUAGACAUGUUGAUAGCUAAACUUAAAUUCAUGAGGCAGAAGAAUUUAGAUUCAUCUUGUGGGAAAUGGACUAUAAAAGGGAGCAGCAAAAACACCAGUCAACAAGACCUCUAUACUGUAGCCCAGCACAAACACCAUGAUUCUAAUAACAGUUUUAAUGUGCUGCUAUUAAAUAUGAAUGCACAGCCAAAGAUCAUCAGAUAUCUGAUAAAAUCCUUUAACAUGAAAAAAAAAAGUAAUAAUCAGAAUGAAAGAAGUCAGAGGAAAGAGAAAACUCAACGAGCAGAAGGAACUUCGGGGAAAGUCCCAUAUAUAAUAUUAUAGGCAAGAGAAGCUACUGUAUUAUGCGACAAAACAAAAUACUAUUGAGAAAAAAAAAGAAUGUUAAAGCAAUGUACAAGAAGAAAGUGUUCCUAGAGUCAAGGAUAUGAAAUUCUAACUUAAAGUCAAUAGCUUGGUGUUUACAUUUGAGGAAAUCUAACAGGAAAAAAAAUUAGAAAAGAGAAUGAAAUUAGAGAGUCAUUGACAAAUUUAUCAUCAGAUUUGUACAGCUCCCAGAAAAGAAUACAGAAAAAAUAGGAGGAAGGAAAUUAUCAAAAAAAAUAUGUAAGAAAAAUUUUUGGAGAAACAUGAGUUUGUUUCAUGAAGUCUCUAGUAUAAUGCAUGAGGAAAGACCCAUAGCUUUACAUUACUGUGAAAUUAAAAUACCAUAAAUAAAGAGACAAUCCUAAAAGUUUAUAUAAUGGAAAGACUGAGGGCUAUAUAAAAAUUCAGAAUUCAGUGUAGAUUCCAUAACAAAAACAUUAUUUAUCAGAAAAAAAUAUUUCAAUCUAGAAUUUUAAAUCCGACCACGUAUAAGGUUAGAAUCAAGACAUUUCCGGCACACAAAUUAAAGCAAUUGAUUUAUCAUAAGCACUUUCUCAGUAAUCUUCCAUAAAGUAUUUGUUCCUAAAAUAAUAUAGUAAUCCUAGAAGGAAGUCAUGAGAUCCCAGAAACAGGAGCUCAAAUAUUAGAAAAAGGUGGAGGAAAUUCCCGGGACGAUAUUGGAGGGAAGUCUCAGAAUGCUAGCCACACUUAGUAUCUAAGAUCUAGAAGUUCUAAGGGGUCACAAGGAUGGGGCUCCUCAUGGGAUGGUGAAAAGAGGACACAAACAAUCAGAGGAACUGAUAGACUACUUGAUUUGUAUGGAUUGCACAGGGAGAUUUAUAUUUGGGAGAUUAUGUUAAACCAAAAAUUUGGCCCUGGAAUAGAAAUAAGUAGACAGAAAAACAAGUGAAUGCUAAUAAAAGAAGCAAUUAGUAACUCCAGAGAAAACAAACAUUUUUAUAAGAAAUGUGAUCUUAGUAUGUUGGCAGUUGUGUGGAAAAGGGAUGUUGCCAAACAUUUUUUGGAGGAAAAAUAAAUUAGCACAGCAUUUUUGAAAAACAAUUCAUUCAGUAAUCAUCAUGAUAUAAAACAUGAAUAGGCUUUGUCUUAGCAGUUCCUCUUCUAAGGAAAAUAACACACAGAAAUAUUCUCCAGAAAGUUCUUGAGUAUAUGCACAAAGACUUUGAUGGUAACAAAUUAAUAAUAGGGGAGAGAGAGAGAAUUAAACGUAUAUUGGUAGUAUUAUGGAAUACUAUAUACCUAUUAGAAAAAGAGAAAGUUUGAU
ensembl:lncRNA